rnacentral:rRNA from 1 species
GACGAACGCUGGCGGCGUGCUUAACACAUGCAAGUCGAACGGAAAGGCCCUGCCUUUGUGGGGUGCUCGAGUGGCGAACGGGUGAGUAACACGUGAGUUACCUGCCCUUGACCUUGGGAUAACUUCAGGAAACUGGGGCUAAUACCGGAUAGGAGCUCCUGCUGCUUGGUGGGGGUUGGAAAGUUUCGGCGGUUGGGGAUGGACUCGCGGCCUAUCAGCUUGUUGGUGGGGUAGUGGCUUACCAAGGCUUUGACGGGUAGCCGGCCUGAGAGGGUGACCGGCCACAUUGGGACUGAGAUACGGCCCAGACUCCUACGGGAGGCAGCAGUGGGGAAUAUUGCACAAUGGGCGGAAGCCUGAUGCAGCAACGCCGCGUGCGGGAUGACGGCCUUCGGGUUGUAAACCGCUUUCGCCUGUGACGAAGCGUGAGUGACGGUAAUGGGUAAAGAAGCACCGGCUAGCUACGUG